AUCACACGGUUGAGGAGACUUCGGACUUCCUGACUCUUUCUUCCGAGACGCGGCUAGGGCUUCAUUGUCGCCGGCGCCGAGCGCUGCGCCGUCAUGGCUUGGUGAUCAGCAAAGCUACCGGCCUGCCGGCUGCCGCUUGAGGCGGAUCAUUCGAGCACCGGAGCACAAGUCUACGGAGUAUGGACUACGACCAGCCCAGCCGAACGGCAACGCCACACGCCCACACCCAAUUUCUAACUUGAUCCCGUGAAUCAGAAACGAAGGCAUCGAGAGAAAUCCUGAGCCAAUUGACAAGUACCAACAUGCAUAAACUUCACGGCAUCGGAAGUUGGUUCUGCCCAUGUUUGCUUUGGCUGUGAUUGUGACGGCUUCAAGCACAGGUAGGAGGGGAAGUGACACGGCCAUUGAUUGGGACCAAGGAAGUGUAGCUUGUUCGUCGGAUCGGUCCAUGUAGACGUUUGUGCAUUUUGUAUAUGGCGUUUUUUUGUAUGUGCAUCAGGGUAAAGAUUGGAUUAUUCAAUGGACAUUUGGUGCGAUGAUGUGACGAUUCUUUGUAGUGCAAUGGAUGGAAGAACUGUGUUGUUCU